UGGUAAUGCCGGAUGCUCCAGCUGAUCGCAUGGUCUUCUGGGAAAGCCUUUGCGGCAUGGGAUGGGGUCGCGUCCUAUCAGCUUGAUGGCGGGGUAACGGCCCACCAUGGCUUCGACGGGUAGCCGGCCUGAGAGGGCGACCGGCCACAUUGGGACUGAGAUACGGCCCAGACUCCUACGGGAGGCAGCAGUGGGGAAUAUUGCACAAUGGGCGCAAGCCUGAUGCAGCGACGCCGCGUGAGGGAUGGAGGCCUUCGGGUUGUAAACCUCUUUUGUUAGGGAGCAAGGCAUUUUGUGUUGAGUGUACCUUUCGAAUAAGCACCGGCUAACUACGUGCCAGCAGCCGCGGUAAUACGUAGGGUGCAAGCGUUAUCCGGAAUUAUUGGGCGUAAAGGGCUCGUAGGCGGUUCGUCGCGUCCGGUGUGAAAGUCCAUCGCUUAACGGUGGAUCCGCGCCGGGUACGGGCGGGCUUGAGUGCGGUAGGGGAGACUGGAAUUCCCGGUGUAACGGUGGAAUGUGUAGAUAU
rnacentral:rRNA from 1 species